UGUCUAUAUGAAGAUAUUUAUAGUCUGGCCUGCUCCCUGACUAUAAAGUUAAAGAGCCGCGGUAAUUUGACCGUGCAAAGGUAGCAUAAUCAUUAGUUUNUUAAUUGGGAACUUGUAUGAAAGGUCUGACAAAGAAAAAGCUGUCUUUAUUAUGAAAGUUGAAUUUAACUUUUAAGUGAAAAGGCUUAAAUAAUUUAGAGGGACGAUAAGACCCUAUAAAGCUUUAUAUAAAAAAAUAAUUAAAAUUAAAUUUAUAAUAAAGAUUUAAAUUAAUUAUUAUAUUUUAUUGGGGUGAUAAUGAUAAAAAUAAUAUUAACUGUUGAACAAAUAUACAUAAAUAAAAGAGUUAAGUUAGUUAAUGAUCCUUAUUUAAAGAUUAAAAGAUUAAGUUACUUUAGGGAUAACAGCGUAAUUUUUCUUGAGAGUUCAUAUCGAAAGAAAAGAUUUCGACCUCGAUGUUGAAUUAAGAUAUCUAUGUAAAGCAGUCAUUACAUAAGAAG
rnacentral:rRNA from 1 species